AAACAUGGCCGACGCGGCUCAAAAUGUAAUAUCUGUUUUUAUCAGCUUACCAUCUGUUACGGUUGUAUUUAGAACCAAGAUAUUAAACUUUCUUUUGCAAAUUGGCGGAGUGCUUGAAGUCUGCUUCAACUCCACCGUGGGUCGACCCGGUAUUGCACUAUCUUUGGCAUCAGCCCAUGGUUU